GACGAACGCUGGCGGCGUGCUUAACACAUGCAAGUCGAACGGAAAGGCCCUGCUUUUGUGGGGUGCUCGAGUGGCGAACGGGUGAGUAACACGUGAGUAACCUGCCCUUGACUAUGGGAUAACUUCAGGAAACUGGGGCUAAUACCGGAUAGGAGCUCCUGCUGCAUGGUGGGGGUUGGAAAGUUUCGGCGGUUGGGGAUGGACUCGCGGCUUAUCAGCUUGUUGGUGGGGUAGUGGCUUACCAAGGCUUUGACGGGUAGCCGGCCUGAGAGGGUGACCGGCCACAUUGGGACUGAGAUACGGCCCAGACUCCUACGGGAGGCAGCAGUGGGGAAUAUUGCACAGUGGGCGGAAGCCUGAUGCAGCAACGCCGCGUGCGGGAUGACGGCCUUCGGGUUGUAAACCGCUUUCGCCUGUGACGAAGCGUGAGUGACGGUAAUGGGUAAAGAAGCACCGGCUAACUACGUG
rnacentral:rRNA from 1 species